UUAUUGUGCUGUGUAUUUGAAAUAAUGUUGUGUAUGAAUGAUAAAACUGUACCAAUGCGUAAGAAAGAAAUAAAGUGAAAAAAAACAAAACAUAUGUUUUACUUAAACAUAUUAUCAA